GAUGUCUUUGGCAAAGAAACAUUUCAUCCAUUUGUCCCUAUCGCUCAUUUAGAAGGGCAUCACCCAGAUUGGUUUUAUAAGUACAGUGCUCACAAACCCCGAAAGGGUUUGGGCUGUUGCAGCGACUACAGUAUUUCGUUCCACUACAUGUCUCCCUCAGACAUGUACCUGAUGGACUACUUACUAUACCAUCUAAAACCAUACGGCUUAGUACCACAGCCGGGGAAAGUGGAACAUUUCAAAAGUGAUACCUGACAUUUGGGAAAUCAUUUUUUUUGGGGGGGGGGGUUACGAUUACAUGUCAUUUCAUUUGCAUAAUGUAAGUUGUUAUUUGUGUUUUUGUAUGGUCCUUUCUAAGAAAGAAUUAAUUUGACGAGUUUGACGUGUGUGCAUAAAUACUGAGAUUUAUAUUAUUUAUAUGCAUGUUUGUACUUUUUGUUGUUUCUGAAUGAUAGUACAUUCAAAACAUGAUGUUUAAUACGCUAAUACAAUUAU
rnacentral:misc_RNA from 1 species